CAAAGAGGGGGACCUUCGGGCCUCUCGCGUCAGGAUAUGCCUAGGUGGGAUUAGCUAGUUGGUGAGGUAAGGGCUCACCAAGGCGACGAUCCCUAGCUGGUCUGAGAGGAUGAUCAGCCACACUGGAACUGAGACACGGUCCAGACUCCUACGGGAGGCAGCAGUGGGGAAUAUUGCACAAUGGGCGCAAGCCUGAUGCAGCCAUGCCGCGUGUGUGAAGAAGGCCUUCGGGUUGUAAAGCACUUUCAGUCGUGAGGAAGGU
rnacentral:rRNA from 1 species